AAUUCAUUUGAUCUUUUAGAAAUUGUCUAUUGGUUUUAUAAACAGAUUUCUCUGUGCUGUUAUAUAGCUCAUAUAGCCAUUUAUUUUCAAUGUUUCUCCUCAUUCGAGUUCAAGGCAUACGUAAUAAGACAGCUAUAGUAUAAGACAGCUACGAAAACAAUUUGCUGAAUAUAGUUUAUUUUCAAUAUUUCUCCUCAUGGAUACUUAUAUCGAGCUUCACCUAUAUCGAAUGGAUACUUUUCUGUUCUGAUUCUGUGUUAAAAAUUGAAACUUGUGUUGAUAAUCUAUUGUUUUGGUUAGGGACUUAGGGUCACAACAAUUACCAGUUUUUAUUCUGAAAUUUGAUUAUUUUGCUCAUGAUUAUUAAUUUUCACUCAUGUUUUGAUACUUUUGUCUUGUGAUUAUGUCAUUUCAGUUCAAUAUAGCUGGAAAUUUAAGAGUAAAAUAUCGUUUAAGCUAUGGUUGCAGCAAGUUCAUCUUCCAUUUGUGCAAUAAAUUUGUUCUUUAGAGUGAAGGGUCAACAAUUACUUCACCCAAGAUGUCAAGAUGCUACUUUUACCAUGCUGAAUUUGCCCUGCUUAGGAAGAAGUAUCAAAGUUCUUGUGGAUGCCUCCUGAACAUGUUCUAUUGGAAGAGAAUGUUAAGGCUAACAAGUAUGCAUACUACUGCAUUGAUGCUUUUAAGCUAAGUCCUAACAAUAAGCUGAUUGCAUAUGCGGUGAACAGUGUGAAGUAUGAUUUCAGGUUGUGUUCUACUGUGAUGCUGAGCUAGUCAGUGUGCUGGGGUUGUUUGACUGUUCCUGUGCCUGCUCAGAGCUUCUGUUUUUUCUAUCCCUGCUGGUUUGCUAUGGUCUGUCUUAUAACUUGAAACUAUCUUAUAAUAUUUCUUACUAUUGUUCAUCUAGCUUUAGGUUAGAGAAUCGUCUCUCAAAGCAUAAUAUGUUUCUGCAUCAUAUGCGAGUUGAACAUAAGGAUCUAGUGCCACCCAUGAUCAUUUCUGGAAAUCAGUUUACAAUGAUCAGUCAACACCAAGUAGCUGCAAGGGAAUACUUGGAAGCGCAUAAACAAAUGCUAAAUUCCCCACUAACCAAUCUCUGUGUCGGGACUGCCUUAAUCAAUUUAGCCCUUGGACAUAGACUUCAAAACAAGCAUCAUUGUGUUGCACAAGGCUUAGCUUUCCUUUACAACAAUCUGCGACUUUGUGAAAAUAGCCAGGAAGCCUUGUAUAAUAUAGCUCGUGCAUUCCACCACGCAGGACUUCUCACAUUUCAGGAAGUCUUUUUGGGCUGCUGUUUUUUGUUUUGUUCUCCGUAGUUUUGGCUUUGUGUUAGGUGUUGUCCCGGUCCCUGUUUUAAGUGUAAUGCAAGAAAGGUCGAUCAGAGAUAAGUCUGGAUUAUUUAAUUUUUUUUGGACGAAAAUUGUAAUAUUACAGGCUUUAUAGCCUUUUUUUAAUGAAAAUAUGUAAGUCUAUAUACAUGUUA